rnacentral:rRNA from 1 species
AGAGUUUGAUCCUGGCUCAGGACGAACGCUGGCGGCGUGCUUAACACAUGCAAGUCGAACGAUGAAGCCUAGCUUGCUAGGUGGAUUAGUGGCGAACGGGUGAGUAAUACGUGAGUAACCUACCUUUAACUCUGGGAUAAGCCUGGGAAACUGGGUCUAAUACCGGAUACGACCAAUCUCCGCAUGGGGUGUUGGUGGAAAGCGUUAUGUAGUGGUUAUAGAUGGGCUCACGGCCUAUCAGCUUGUUGGUGAGGUAAUGGCUCACCAAGGCGACGACGGGUAGCCGGCCUGAGAGGGUGACCGGCCACACUGGGACUGAGACACGGCCCAGACUCCUACGGGAGGCAGCAGUGGGGAAUAUUGCACAAUGGGCGCAAGCCUGAUGCAGCGACGCCGCGUGAGGGAUGACGGCCUUCGGGUUGUAAACCUCUGUUAGCAGGGAAGAAGAGAGAUUGACGGUACCUGCAGAGAAAGCGCCGGCUAACUACGUGCCAGCAGCCGCGGUAAUACGUAGGGCGCGAGCGUUGUCCGGAAUUAUUGGGCGUAAAGAGCUUGUAGGCGGUUUGUCGCGUCUGCUGUGAAAGGCCGGGGCUUAACCCCGUGUAUUGCAGUGGGUACGGGCAGACUAGAGUGCAGUAGGGGAGACUGGAAUUCCUGGUGUAGCGGUGGAAUGCGCAGAUAUCAGGAGGAACACCGAUGGCGAAGGCAGGUCUCUGGGCUGUAACUGACGCUGAGAAGCGAAAGCAUGGGGAGCGAACAGGAUUAGAUACCCUGGUAGUCCAUGCCGUAAACGUUGGGCACUAGGUGUGGGGGACAUUCCACGUUUUCCGCGCCGUAGCUAACGCAUUAAGUGCCCCGCCUGGGGAGUACGGCCGCAAGGCUAAAACUCAAAGGAAUUGACGGGGGC